ACACAGGCGUUAAUAGCAUCUUUCCUAUGAGACUGUAGAUAGUGGCAUUGUAACUUUAAGAGGGAGGAGAAUUUGAGUGAAUAGCAGUUGAUCUUUGGUGAGUGAGGAGAUAUUGAAUGAUGUUCAGAGAAAAGAGAAGAUAGAAAAUCUCUUCCCUGGAAGAACUGGUUGAACUCUUAUCUUAUGAAGAAACUUUAAUUGUUAGCCUAAGAUAAUUGAAUUAUAGAACUAUGUUUUCAGAAUAGAGAAGUCAGCAAUGGUUGUGUUCACAGGAUCAUGUAGUUAGGACUAGAAGGGACCUUAGAGGUCAUAGAAAUCUAAACCCUCUCAUUUAACAGAUGAAGAAACCAAGGCUGAGAGAAACUUAGAGACUUGCCCCAAAUCAGACAGGUAGUUAGUGUUUAAGGAAAGAGCUGAACUCAAGUUUCCUUCCUCAUAGUCUAAUAUUCUAUCCACUGGAUCAUUGAGCUUUGUUACUCCUUUAAAUAAUAAAUUGUGAUCUCACCCAGAUGAGAAUUCAGUGCAAUUAAAACGCAUUCUGAGAAGUGAGUAAGGACUUCUAGGAACUGGAGUCCUGGGUUCAAGUCUCCAUUUUUUAUAAUUCGCCAUGUGAUCAUUUUGGGAAAGAUUUUCCCCAAAAGGAUCAUGAAAACAUAAUCAACUUAAAGAUACAAUAAUUUGAGGAUAAGAGAGGGCUAUGAUCUUUCUCAUAGCCAAUAUACUGUAAUAAUUCUUUAUAUGUUUGUUUUAUUUGUUUUAUACUGUUAUUUGUAUGAUUUAGAACUUUGAUGUUUAUUUAAGUUUAGGAGAUGAGAGUGGUAGUAAUAUAGAGAGAUGAACAAAAUCUUUCAGGAAAAGGAAUUUUUCCAAUUCAAAAUGUACCCUCUGAAAGUCGAAUAAGAAUGAGUAAGGAAAAUGAACUAGUAGCAGCAUAUUGUUUAUCUUUCAUCCUUAAAAAAAAAAAAAAAAAAAAAAAAAAAAAAAAAAAAAAAAAAAAAAAAAAAAAAAAAAAAAAGAAGAAGAAACCAGUAUUUAUGUAGUUAAUUUCUAUAGCUAAAGGAGUAAGGAGGGGCGAAGACAAGUCUAUUUUCUAAAUUGAUGGUAGCCAACCUGACCAAGAGUAGAGGCCAGUAUUCACCCGUGUCAUUGACAAAGGACUGCAAUAUAUUUUUUAUUUAAAAAUUUAAUGCCUACUUCAUUUAUUAUACUGAACAGAACUGACUAUGUUAAUCCAUUCAUUCAUUUCUCUAUGUUGAAAUAUCAUUUGGGGUUGUUUGAAGAAUAUAACAGUUUAAGUAUAGAAUCAACAUAAUUCACAAGGGUAGUAUUUCUUCUUCAAGCUUGUUUCAUGGGCCAUGUAUGAAAGUCUAUACAAUAAAUAUAUAAUGAAUGAAUGACA
rnacentral:lncRNA from 1 species